AUCCUCUUUUCAGGUCACAAAUGUGAGGACUGGGCUUUCGUGCUCAUGUGUGACGUAUGUCUCCCUCAAAUCUUGUUAUGAUGCUGGCACAUUACCUAUCUGACA
ensembl:snoRNA